GCAAAGCUCAGCUCAUUUUUGGAAACUACAAUAUUCGCAAACUCAUUCUACCUGCAGGCAUACCAAGCAGCCUCACAGACCAGUCUGGUCAGUUUUUCACUCUAACUCACAUUGGAGAUGUGGAGGAUCAUGUAACAUUAAAGGUUGUGCCAGUAAAGCCAGUUGUCCUCACUUUCAGUUUAGUGGAAGAAAUAGAGGUUGACUCACCUCCACCACAAGAAUCCUCUGAUACUAUCUCCACCCACUCAUCAUCAGACACCAUCAUUCUCUCCUCCUCUGAUGAAAGCAGAACUUCCCGACGCUCUCAACCAUGGCCGGCCAGAUUUGAAAUACUGACAUUUUCCUUUGAUGUAGAACAACAUUUGCAGGCUGGAAACCAAGCAUUCUUGAAGGAUGGUGCCCUGCUCAACCACCAAAGUGACAAGCAGCAUACUGGAGAAGCUUGCAGAGGUGGGUUUUGGUUACACGGCAUACCCCACAGGGAUUCAAAUUUUGACAGUGGUCGAAGCCUUUAUCAAAAAGUUCCCAUGUCUCAGGGAACCAGGGUCUUUUAAUGGCAUUCAUGGGUGGCAGCAGACGAUGAAAUGGAAAAUGGGAAAUUACUGUGCAAAAUUGAGAGGCCGUCAACUAGCCUGUCCAGAGCUAGAAGUGAACUCGCUGAAAAGACAGAGGUCAAAUGAGAAUGGCUCAAGCAAAGGCAUCAAAAAGCGCAAGAAGGCAGAGGUAAACUACCUGCCUCCACUGCCAAUUGGGGACACGGAAGCCACUUCAGAUAAGAAGAGGGUAGACAUGCUGCAAGGAGUUAAGAAAAAUAAUGAGCGCAUAAUAUCAGAGAAAAUGAAAAGAUCUUUCUCCUUCCGAAGACAGGAAGUUGUAAAGCAGUGCCCCGCCAUCCAAGAUUUCCGGGAGAGAUGGCCUGCUCUUUUCUCUGAAGCUCAGAUCAAUUAGGAAUUCAAAAGAAUCACAACAUUUCCCUAGGAAAUAACUUAUCUCACUAAGCUGGACUUCUGCACUCCAAAAAUGUAGGAGAUAUUCAGCAAAAAUGUGGAAUAGCUGGGACCAAAAUACGACCACUUCUGGAUUCACUCAGCCAGCGACAUGUUGAAACGAGACGGGAGGCCAUUAUUCGCGCCCUGAUGGAAUUCCUGGGGGAGUCUUCAGGGGAACUCAUCAAGGACUACAAGGAUAUCAGGAGAGAGGAAGCUCAAGAGUACCCGGCUGAGCAAGUCCUGAGGAUCUGUGUCUUCCACACAAGUGCAGAAGGUGAUGGUGCAUCCGAAACUGAUGUGUCCAUUGUUAUUGAAGGGACUGAGGUACUUGACAACUGUGGAAGUGUUGCAAAGGCCUGUCUCCUGCUCAUGGGCAUCAUAUAUGCCAUGAACU